rnacentral:rRNA from 1 species
UACGUAGGGGGCAAGCGUUGUUCGGAUUUACUGGGCGUAAAGGGCGCGUAGGCGGCGUGGUAAGUCAGCUGUGAAAUCUCCGAGCUUAACUCGGAAAGGUCAACUGAUACUGUGCGGCUAGAGUGCGGAAGGGGCAACUGGAAUUCUUGGUGUAGCGGUGAAAUGCGUAGAUAUCAAGAGGAACACCUGCGGCGAAGGCGGGUUGCUGGGCCGACACUGACGCUGAGGCGCGAAAGCCAGGGGAGCAAACGGG